rnacentral:rRNA from 1 species
UACGUAGGGUGCGAGCGUUGCCCGGAUUUACUGGGCGUAAAGAGCGCGCAGGCGGUCGUUCAAGUCGCGUGUGAAAUGCCCCGGCUCACCCGGGGACCGGCAUCCCAUACUGCUUGGCUUGAGUACGGGAGAGGAUGUGGGAAUUCCUGGUGUAGCGGUGAAAUGCGUAGAUAUCAGGAGGAACACCGGUGGCGAAGGCGCACAUCUGGCCCGAUACUGACGCUGAGGCGCGAAAGCUAGGGGAGCAAACGGG